rnacentral:lncRNA from 1 species
ACCGCCACGGUGACUUGCAAGCAACUCACUGCACUUAGGCACUGGACUACCUGAAUUUUUAAUUCAGUGACGGAAGGUUGUUGGGUGUAGUCAAGUACUUGACUUAUUGGUGCAUGUGUCAAGAUGGGAUUGACCACUCUAGUUUAGGAGCUGUGUAUAGUCGUAUUUUAAUUUAGCAAAACCUUGAUCAGGGUAGUCCUUGUGAGGAGUC